UACCUACGGGGGGCAGCAGUGGGGAUAUUGCACAAUGGGGGAAACCCUGAUGCAGCGACGCCGCGUGGGUGAAGAAGCGCCUCGGCGCGUAAAGCCCUGUCAGCAGGGAAGAAAAUGACGGUACCUGAAGAAGAAGCCCCGGCUAACUACGUGCCAGCAGCCGCGGUAAUACGUAGGGGGCAAGCGUUAUCCGGAUUUACUGGGUGUAAAGGGGGCGCAGACGGCGAUGCAAGCCAGAAGUGAAAGCCCGGGGCUCAACUCCGGUACUGCUUUUGAAACUGUGUUGCUAGAUUGCAGGAGAGGUA
rnacentral:rRNA from 1 species